ACGGGGGGGGCAAGCGUUGUUCGGAAUUACUGGGCGUAAAGGGCUCGUAGGCGGCCAAUUAAGUCAGACGUGAAAUCCCUCGGCUCAACUGGGGAACUGCGUCUGAUACUGGAUGGCUUGAGUGUGGGAGAGGGAUGUAGAAUUCCAGGUGUAGCGGUGAAAUGCGUAGAUAUCAGGAGGAACACCCGUGGCGAAGGCGGCUCACUGGGCAUCUCCUGACGCUGAGGCGCGAAAGUGUGGGGAGCAAACAGGA
rnacentral:rRNA from 1 species